rnacentral:rRNA from 1 species
GUGCCAGCAGCCGCGGUAAUACGGAGGGUGCAAGCGUUAUCCGGAAUCAUUGGGUUUAAAGGGUCCGUAGGCGGAUUAAUAAGUCAGAGGUGAAAUCCCACAGCUUAACUGUGGAACUGCCUUUGAUACUGUUAGUCUUGAGUUAUAUGGAAGUAGAUAGAAUGUGUAGUGUAGCGGUGAAAUGCAUAGAUAUUACACAGAAUACCGAUUGCGAAGGCAGUCUACUACGUAUAUACUGACGCUAAUGGACGAAAGCGUGGGGAGCGAACAGGAUUAGAAACCCCCGUAGUCC